AAUGAACGCUGGCGGCAGGCCUAACACAUGCAAGUCGAACGAGGUAGCAAUACCUAGUGGCGGACGGGUGAGUAACGCGUGGGAACGUGCCCCUUGGUACGGAAUAGCCCUGGGAAACUGGGAGUAAUACCGUAUGUGGUCGCGAGACGAAAGAUUUAUCGCCAAGGGAUCGGCCCGCGUUGGAUUAGGUAGUGGGUGGGGUAAUGGCCUACCAAGCCGACGAUCCAUAGCUGGUUUGAGAGGAUGAUCAGCCACACUGGGACUGAGACACGGCCCAGACUCCUACGGGAGGCAGCAGUGGGGAAUCCUAGACAAUGGGGGAAACCCUGAUCUAGCCAUGCCGCGUGAUCGAUGAAGGCCUUAGGGUUGUAAAGAUCUUUCAGUGGGGAAGAUAAUGACGGUACCCACAGAAGAAGCCCCGGCUAACUCCGUGCCAGCAGCCGCAGUAC
rnacentral:rRNA from 1 species